GGACCACAGCCUUUGCUUUGCCCCUCUUUCGUAGGGAAGAGCUGUCACUGGAGAAACUAUAUUUUGUUCUUCCUGAGAAAGAAUCACCAUUUUCAGUAUUGCCUAGAAAUCUAUAACACAAUGUUCUUUUUCUUGCACUUACAAGACAAGCUUUUCUGUGAUUGUUUUUAAGUACUUCGCCUGGUACUUCUGGAAUGACAUCUGGAAAUCCGACAAGCAUCUUUUAACCCAGAAGGUUACUAAAGAUUGCUGUGCAGAAAUACAGGAAGUUGGGCUUUUCUGGUGGCACAACGGAUGGAAGUCUGCCUGCUGAUGCAGGGGACAUGGGUUCGAUCCUUGGUCCAGGAGGAUUCCACAAGCCAAGGAGCAACUAUGCCCAUGAGCCUUUGCUCUAGAGCCCUCGAGCCACAACUACAGGACCCAUGUGCUGGAACAUGAAGCUUAUGUGUUGCAGCUACUGAAGCCUGCAUGGCUAGAGCCUGUGCUCCACAGCAAGGGAAACCAUCACGAUGAGAAGCCCAUGCACAGCCACAAAGAGUAGCCCCCACUCACCACAGCUAGAGAAAGCCUGCACCCAGCAAUGAAGACCCAGUGCAACCAAAAAUAAAUAAACAAAUAA
ensembl:lncRNA